rnacentral:pre_miRNA from 1 species
AAUAAACCCUAAUUUUCGUGUCUAAUAUUUGAUCGUCCGUCUUAUUUAAAUAAAAUAUAAAAAAAAUUAAAAAGACAAGUCACGUACAAAGUAUUAAUCAUGUUUUAUCAUUUAACAACAAUAAAAAUACAAAUUAUAAAAAAAUUUCAUAUAAGACGGAUAGUUAAAGUUGGACACGGAAACUCAGGGUUUGUCUUUUU